AUAUCAAUAAGCGGAGGAAAAGAAACCAACAGGGAUUGCCCCAGUAACGGCGAGUGAAGCGGCAACAGCUCAAAUUUGAAAUCUGGCCCCCGUGGGGUCCGAGUUGUAAUUUGCAGAGGAUGCUUCGGCGUCGGCCCCGGGCCAAGCCCCCUGGAACGGGGCGUCCUAGAGGGUGAGAGCCCCGUACCCUUCCGGGUGUCCUUCGCCGUGUGAAGCUCCUUCGACGAGUCGAGUUGUUUGGGAAUGCAGCUCUAAGCGGGAGGUAAAUUUCUUCUAAGGCUAAAUACCGGCCAGAGACCGAUAGCGCACAAGUAGAGUGAUCGAAAGAUGAAAAGCACUUUGGAAAGAGAGUUAAAGAGCACGUGAAAUUGUUGAAAGGGAAGCUCUUGCCGCCAGACUUGCCGCGGUUGCUCGGCCGUCCCCAGGGGCGGCGUACUCUUCCGCCGGCAGGCCAGCGUCGGUUCGGGCGGCCGGAUAAAGGCCCCGGGAACGUGGCACCCCCCGGGGUGUGUUAUAGCCCGGGGUGCAAUGCGGUCAGCCCGGUCCGAGGCAUGCGUUCGCGAGGACGCUGGCGUAAUGGCCGCAAGCGACCCGUCUUGAAACACGGACCAAGGAGUCUAACAUCUGUGCGAGUGUUUGGGCGUCAAACCCAUGCGCGUAAUGAAAGUGAACGGAGGUGGGAACCCCCUCGAGGGGCGCACCAUCGACCGAUCCUGAUGUCUUCGGAUGGAUUUGAGUAAGAGCAUAGCUGUUGGGACCCGAAAGAUGGUGAACUAUUCCCGGAUAGGGUGAAGCCAGGGGAAACUCUGGUGGAGGCUCGCAGCGGUUCUGACGUGCAAAUCGAUCGUCAAAUCUAGGAAUAGGGGCGAAAGACUAAUCGAACCAU
rnacentral:rRNA from 1 species